UCGGCUUAGAGUUUGAUCAUGGCUCAGAUUGAACGCUGGCGGCAGGCCUAACACAUGCAAGUCGAGCGGUAAGGGAGCUUGCUCCUGACGAGCGGCGGACGGGUGAGUAAUGUCUGGGAAACUGCCUGAUGGAGGGGGAUAACUACUGGAAACGGUAGCUAAUACCGCAUAACGUCGCAAGACCAAAGAGGUUCGUCUUGCCAUCAGAUGUGCCCAGAUGGGAUUAGCUAGUAGGUGGGGUAACGGCUCACCUAGGCGACGAUCCCUAGCUGGUCUGAGAGGAUGACCAGCCACACUGGAACUGAGACACGGUCCAGACUCCUACGGGAGGCAGCAGUGGGGAAUAUUGCACAAUGGGCGCAAGCCUGAUGCAGCCAUGCCGCGUGUAUGAAGAAGGCCUUCGGGUUGUAAAGUACUUUCAGCGAGGAGGAAGGCGUCGUACUAAUGUACGGUGUUGACGUUACUCGCAGAAGAAGCACCGGCUAACUCCGUGCCAGCAGCCGCGGUAAUACGGAGGGUGCAAGCGUUAAUCGGAAUUACUGGGCGUAAAGCGCACGCAGGCGGUUUGUCAUGUCGGAUGUGAAAUCCCCGGGCUCAACCUGGGAACUGCAUUCGAAACGGGCAAGCUAGAGUCUUGUAGAGGGGGGUAGAAUUCCAGGUGUAGCGGUGAAAUGCGUAGAGAUCUGGAGGAAUACCGGUGGCGAAGGCGGCCCCCUGGACAAGACUGACGCUCAGUGCGAA
rnacentral:rRNA from 1 species